UGGCCCAUAGCCAAGCGGUAAGGCAAACGGCUCUGACCCGUUUAUUGCAAAGGUUCAAAUCCUUUUGGGCCAGCCA
rnacentral:tRNA from 1 species